CGAGUCGAGCGGUGACAGGAGAAAGCUUGCUUUCUUGCUGACGAGCGGCGGACGGGUGAGUAAUGUAUGGGGAUCUGUCCGAUAGAGGGGGAUAACUACUGGAAACGGUGGCUAAUACCGCAUAAUGUCUACGGACCAAAGCAGGGGCUCUUCGGACCUUGCACUAUCGGAUGAACCCAUAUGGGAUUAGCUAGUAGGUGGGGUAAAGGCUCACCUAGGCGACGAUCUCUAGCUGGUCUGAGAGGAUGAUCAGCCACACUGGGACUGAGACACGGCCCAGACUCCUACGGGAGGCAGCAGUGGGGAAUAUUGCACAAUGGGCGCAAGCCUGAUGCAGCCAUGCCGCGUGUAUGAAGAAAGCCUUAGGGUUGUAAAGUACUUUCAGCGGGGGAGGAAGGUGAUAAGGUUAAUACCCUUUGUCAAUUGACGUUACCCGCAGGAAGAAGCACCCGGCUAACUUCCGUGCCAGCAGCCGGCGUAAUACGGGAGGGUUGCAAGCGUUAAUCGGAAUUACUGGG
rnacentral:rRNA from 1 species